CGUUCAUGAUAUUGACAUUCAACUGUGCCCUGGAGACACGGUCGAAGCAUGCCCGCCCAGUGUGCUUCUUUCACGACAUGCUAUAGUCCUGGGUGUCUUCCAGUGGUCUUCUAGCCUUAGAAGAAGUCGUGUCCGUCCCAGGCAUCUGCAACGUCCUCCUUUGAUAUUCUAAUCUGGGACAACUAAAAGACUGAGCCAUGCGGUUACUUUCACGGUCGCCCUCACUAAACCAACUUGAAUCUGAACUACGAUUCAGAUCACAUCUUACUGAAAUCGGAUUUCCUUUGCGUGCCAUAUGCGCUUAGACUUCACUUUUUCCCCGUUUUUCUUCCCCGUCCAAUAUUUAUUCUCGAAGGUCUUCGUUUUCGUGUAAAAGAAAACUCUCCAAAUUUAUGACCAACCUUUCCUUCAGUAAUCUUACAACGAACAGGAGUUUUUCCAUUGUAAAUUCGUACGGAGCAAUCAACGAAUUCCGGCGAAAUAGAAGAUCUACGUGACCAAAUUGUCAUGUUCAAAAGAAGAUCUCUCUUCUUUUUCAUUCUCAAGAGGAAUGCAUCAACAAAACUUCUCUUCCAUAUAGAUCGGAAAGCGUCUUGUAGGGAAAGAGA